rnacentral:rRNA from 1 species
AUUGAACGCUGGCGGCAUGCCUUACACAUGCAAGUCGAACGGCAGCACGGGGCAACCUGGUGGCGAGUGGCGAACGGGUGAGUAAUGCAUCGGAACGUACCUUUCAGUGGGGGAUAACGUAGCGAAAGUUACGCUAAUACCGCAUAUUCUGUGAGCAGGAAAGCAGGGGAUCGCAAGACCUUGCGCUGAUUGAGCGGCCGAUGUCAGAUUAGCUAGUUGGUGAGGUAAAGGCUCACCAAGGCGACGAUCUGUAGCGGGUCUGAGAGGAGGAUCCGCCCCACUGGAACUGAGACACGGUCCAGACUCCUACGGGAGGCAGCAGUGGGGAAUGUUGGACAAGGGGGGCAACCCUGAUCCAGCCAUGCCGCGUGAGUGAAGAAGGCCUUCGGGUUGUAAAGCGCUUUCGGCCGGGAAGAAAUCGCACGGGCUAAUACCCUGUGUGGAUGACGGUACCGGAAUAAGAAGCACCGGCUAACUACGUGCCAGCAGCCGCCGUAACAC